AAAGUGCUGGGAUUACAGGCUUGAGCCACUGCGCCUGGCCAAUAAUUUUCUAAUGGGAGAUUUGGUACAUCCCCAGAAGUUGUCUUUGGUUCAGAGAACAGUCUUCAGGCUUAGAAAGGACUUGAGGAGUCCCACAGAGGAGCCACAUGCUGUGAACCAUUUGAUUCUCACAACAGAAUGGAUAAAAAUAAUUUGAACCAUGAAACCAUGCAGAUGUUCAUAUUUUGGAUAGGGUAAGGUCAGUGCCAUUGUCAGAGGAAAAACCCUUGGCCAUCACAGGAUGGGAGAGAAAGUUUCCACGUAAAGAAUACUCAAAUAUCAUUGAAGGAAACGGGUUCUUCUGCCCUUAUUCUUUGGAUUAUUUAGGGCCAAGUUCUUAGUUUUUGACAUCAUCAAAAUUUCAAAGUAUUCUGUUCUAGGAGCCAUUUCAAACAAUUAACUAGAAUUUCAGAGGAAUUACAUGAGAGUAAUACCAUUAGAAUUUUUAAAUUAUCCAUAGUCCUAUAUCCCUAACAAGUAUGUUCAUGCUUGCAUAUUCUCUUCUUAUCUUUACUUUGUGUGUACUUUCUUAAUAAUGGCACAUAGAAAUUGUUUAAGCAGGAAUAACUCUCAAGAUAAUUUUAUAUGUUUCCUUUUUUCUUUUUAAGGUAUAUAUUGGGUGAAGGAGCAUUAUGUAUGGAACCUCUCACAAAACAGCUCCUACUUUCAAGAAUGAAAAAGGUAUCCCAGCACUUUGGGAGGCCAAGGUGGAUGGAUCACGAGGUCAGGAGAUCGAGACCAUCCUGGCUAACACGGUGAAACCGUGUCUCUACUAAAAAAUAGAAAAAAAUUAGCUGGGCAUGAUGGCAGACUCCUGUAGUCCCAGUAGUAGAGUCAACCACUUUUAGGCAGCCCCCCGUACUUGGGAGGCUGAGGCAGGAGAGUGGCAU
rnacentral:lncRNA from 1 species